rnacentral:rRNA from 1 species
UGGGGGAUAUUGCACAAUGGGCGCAAGCCUGAUGCAGCGACGCCGCGUGGGGGAUGAAGGCUUUCGGGUUGUAAACCUCUUUCGCUAUCGAACAAGGCCCGCUUAGGGUGGGUUGAGGGCAGGUGGAGAAGAAGCGCCGGCUAACUACGUGCCAGCAGCCGCGGUAAUACGUAGGGCGCGAGCGUUGUCCGGAAUUAUUGGGCGUAAAGGGCUUGUAGGCGGCUUGUUGCGCCUGCUGUGAAAACGCGGGGCUUAACUUCGCGCGUGCAGUGGGUACUGGCAGGCUUGAGUGUGGUAGGGGUGACUGGAAUUCCAGGUGUAGCGGUGGAAUGCGCAGAUAUCUGGAGGAACACCGAUGGCGAAGGCAGGUCACUGGGCCAUUACUGACGCUGAGGAGCGAAAGCAUGGGUAGCGAACAGG